AGAAGUGGGCACUACCACUCAGGGCCGGAAAGCUCUCCAAACUCGGUCAUUUAGAGCCCGUAAAAGUCGUAACAAGGUAACCACGUGGGGGAUAACGAGCCCCAAGCUUUGCUAAUACCGCAUACGAUCUACGGAUGAAAGCGGGGGAUCUUCGGACCUCGCGCGGACGGAACGGCCGAUCGCAGAUUAGGUAGUUGGUGGGAUAAAAGCUUACCAAGCCGACGAUCUGUAGCUGGUCUGAGAGGAUGAUCAGCCACACUGGGACUGAGACACGGCCCAGACUCCUACGGGAGGCAGCAAUCGGGAAUUUUGGACAAUGGGCGAAAGCCUGAUCCAGCCAUGCCGCGUGCAGGAUGAAGGCCUUCCGGUUGUAAACUGCUUUUGUACGGAACGAAAAGCCUCUUUCUAAUAAAGAGGGGUCAUGACGGUACCGUAAGAAUAAGCACCGGCUAACUACGUGCCAGCAGCCGCGGUAAUACGUAGGGUGCAAGCGUUAAUCGGAAUUACUGGCCGUAAAGCAUGCGCAGGCGGUUUUGUAAGACAGAUGUGAAAUCCCCGGGCUCAACCUGGGAACUGCCUUUGUGACUGCAAGGCUGGAAUGCGGCAGAAGGAGAUGGAAUUCCGCGUGUAGCAAAGAAAUGCUUAAAUAUGCGGAGGAACACCAAUCGCUAAGGCAAUCCCCUGGGCCUGCACUAACACUCAUGCACGAAAGCAUGAGAAGCAAACAGGAUUAGAUACCCUGGUAGACAACGCCCUUAACGAUGGCAACUGGAUAAUGGGUCUUCACUGACUCAGUAACGAAACUAACGCGUGUAGUUGACCGCCUGGAUAGUACGGCCACUAGGUUGAAACUCAAAGAAAUUGACGGAGACC
rnacentral:rRNA from 1 species